GGCCCUGCCUACCGGCGACCCCGCUGCCGCCUCUCGGGGCGCCUGGGGUCUGGCGGGGCC
rnacentral:miRNA from 1 species